rnacentral:lncRNA from 1 species
CCCAAAGUUCUGAUUUGGGGGAAUAUGGGGAAAUCUGAAAGUUCACAUUUUUGACAAUGGGAAUGUGAGAUGAAAACCCAAAUUUUCCCUUUUUUGGGUCAAAAUGGGGCAAAAUGGGAAGUUACGAUUUUUGGUAAUGGGAACGCGAUGGGGAGACCCAAAAUUCGUGUUUUUUGGGGUCAAAAUUGGGCAAAACCCAAAGUUCUGAUUUGGGGGAAUAUGGGGAAAUCUGAAAGUUCACAUUUUUGUCAAUGGGAACAUGAGAUGGAAACCCAAACUCACACUUUUUUUGGGUCAAAAUGGGGCAAAAUCAAAAGUAGCGAUUUUUGGUACUGGGAAGACCCAAAAGUUGGGGGCUUUUUUGGGUCAAAAUUGGGCAAAUUCCAGAGUUCUGAUUUGGGGGAAUUGGGGGAAAUCUGAAAGUUCACAUUUUUGUCUAUGGGAAUAUGAGAAGAAAACCCAAACUCACACUUUUUUUGGGUCAAAAUCAGUCAAAACAGAAACUUAGGAUUUUUGGCAACCCGCUUCCCGAAAAUCGCGUUUUUUCCCUCUUUUGGGGCAAAAAAAAACCCCAAAAUUGGGCGUUUUUGUGUCUGGGGAAGAAGGGGUGGGGGGUCCCCCCGGUGGCCGCGGCGUUUUUUGGGGUGAAAAAAGGCGAUUUUGGGGCAUUUCAGAAGAUGAUGGAUUUGGGUUCCCCGCGCGGCUUCUGCAGCUUGUCCAGGUUCUUCUGCACCGCGUCCAGGAGCACGGCCUAAAGGGGAAGGGUCAAAGGUCACGUGGGGGUCAAAGGUCACGUGGGGUCAGGGGUCACGUGGGGUCGAAGGUCAAGCAGGGGUCAAAGGUCAAUGAGAGGUCAAAAGUCGCACAAGUCGAAAGUCAACGGGGGUUAAAGGUCAACGAGCGGUUGUAGGGACAUGGGAGGUCACGUGGGGUCAGAGGUCAUGUGGGGUCAAAGGUCAAUCGGGGUCAAAGGUCACAAAGGGUCGAAGGUCAAGUAGGGGUCGAAGGUCAAACUGGGGUCAAAGGCCAAGGAGGGGUCAUAGGGUCAAGCGAGGUCACAUGGGAGUUGCUGGAUGAGGUCACAUGGGGGUCAAGGGUCAUGUGGGGUCAAAGGUCAAUCGGGGUCAAAGGUCACAAAGGGUCGAAGGUCGCGUGGGGUCGAAGGUCAAGCAGGGGUCGAAGGUCAAAGUGGGGUCAAAGGACAAGGAGGGGUCAUAGGGUCAAGCGAGGUCACAUGGGAGUCAGAGGUCACAUGGGGUCAAAGGUCAUGUGGGUGAAAGGUCACGUGGGGUCAAAGGUCAAUCGGGGUCAAAGGUCACAAAGGAUCGAAGGUCAAGUAGGGGUCAAAGGUCAAACGGGUCGAAGGACACGGAGGGGUCAUAGGGUCAAGUGAGGUCACAUGGGAGUCAGAGGUCACAUG